AAUAAGCGGAGGAAGAUUCCGUAGGUGAACCUGCGGAUAUUCAUGUCAAUAAGCGGAGGAAUGUUCCUUAAAUUUUAAUUAAAUUAAAACUUUCAACUACGCAUCUCUUGUUUCUCGCAUCGAUGAAGAACUCAGCGAAAUGCGAUAAGUAAUGUGAAUUGCAGAAUUCAGUGAAUCAUCGAAUCUUUGAACGCACAUUGCGCCCCUUGGUAUUCCGAGGGGCAUGCCUGUUCGAGCGUCAUUACACCACUCAAGCACUGCUUGGUAUUGGGCAUCGUCCGUCGAAAGGCGGGCGUGCCUCGAAGACCUCGGCGGGGUUUCUCCAACUUCGGGCGUAGUAGAGUUAAAUCAAAACGUCUUAUAAGCUUGGUGAGAUCUCAUUGCCGUUAAACCUUUUAUUUUUCAGGUUGACCUCGGAUCAGGUAGGGAUACCCGCUG
rnacentral:rRNA from 1 species